UAGCUUAGUUGAUAAAGAAUCUGCCUGCAAUGCAGGAGACCUGGGUUCAAUUCCUGG
rnacentral:tRNA from 1 species